AUUAGAUACCCGCGUAGUCCAGGGUGUAAACGCUGCGGGCUUGGUGUUGGGGGUCCGUCUGAGGGCGCCCAGUGCCGGAGAGAAGUUGUUAAGCCUGCUGCUUGGGAGUACGUCCGCAAGGAUGAAACUUAAAGGAAUUGGCGGGGGAGCACCGCAACGGGAGGAGCGUGCGGUUCAAUUGGAUUCAACGCCGGACAACUCACCAGGAGCGACGGUUACAUGAAGGCCAGGCUGAUGACCUUGCCUGAUUUUCCG
rnacentral:rRNA from 1 species